rnacentral:rRNA from 1 species
UACGUAGGUGGCGAGCGUUGUCCGGAUUUACUGGGCGUAAAGAGCGCGCAGGCGGUCGUUCAAGUCGCGUGUGAAAGCCCCCGGCUCAACUGGGGAGGGUCACGCGAUACUGAUCGACUCGAAGGCAGGAGAGGGAAGUGGAAUUCCCGGUGUAGUGGUGAAAUGCGUAGAUAUCGGGAGGAACACCAGUGGCGAAGGCGGCUCACUGGCCCGGUACUGACGCUCAUGUGCGAAAGCGUGGGGAGCAAACAGG